AAUUCAUGUCUCUGCUUCUCAGCCGGCUCUCGAAGAUUGCCCUUGGGAAACCUGCGUCCGUAAGAUCUUCUCUUGUUCUUA
rnacentral:sRNA from 1 species